GUAGGUGGCAAGCGUUGUCCGGAAUUAUUGGGCGUAAAGCGCGCGCAGGUGGGUUCUUUAAGUCUGAUGUGAAAGCCCCCGGGCUCAACCGGGGAGGGUCAUUGGAAACUGGGGAACUUGAGUGCAGGAGAGGAAAGUGGAAUUCCACGUGUAGCGGUGAAAUGCGUAGAUAUGUGGAGGAACACCAGUGGCGAAGGCGACUUUCUGGCCUGUAACUGACACUGAGGCGCGAAAGCGUGGGGAGCAAACAGGAUUAGAUACCCUGGUAGUCCGCGCCGUAAACGAUGAGUGCUAAGUGUUGGGGGGUUUCCGCCCCUCAGUGCUGCAGCUAACGCAUUAAGCACUCCGCCUGGGGAGUACGGUCGCAAAGACUG
rnacentral:rRNA from 1 species